AGAAAUGAGGGUAAUGGGGUUGGCUAGGCUAGUGACCCCCUCAUUCCUCACAACUCCCUGUGUGUCUCUAUGGAAACUGCAUGGUUGGUCAAAGAGGACAACCUUCCCUAAAUAGAGAAUGGUCUUCAGUCAAGGGUAUACAAGUAGCUACGCUCCCCUGCUAGAACCUGUAGACAGACUCUCAAGAGGUAAACUUGCACACAUCCGGCACAGACAGAACCUUUGCAAGGCUAACUGUGAUUUU
ensembl:misc_RNA 7SK 7SK RNA